rnacentral:rRNA from 1 species
AUUGAACGCUGGCGGCAGGCUUAACACAUGCAAGUCGAACGAGUGGCGGACGGGUGAGUAAUGCUUGGGAAUCUCGCUUAUGGAGGGGGAUAACUACGGGACACUGUAGCUAAUACCGCGUACCAUAGGUUGAGCCCAAGUGGGAUUAGGUAGUUGGUGAGGUAAAGGCUCACCAAGCCGACGAUCUCUAGCGGGUCUGAGAGGAUGACCAGCCACACUGGGACUGAGACACGGCCCAGACUCCUACGGGAGGCAUCAGUGGGGAAUAUUGCGCAAUGGGUGCAACCCGUACACAGCCAUGCCGCGUGUAUGAAGAAGGCCUUCGGGUUGUAAAGUACUUGCAGUCGGGAGGCGUUACCGACAGAAGAAGCACCGGCUAACUCCGUGCCAGCAGCCGCGGUAAUAC